UUGAAAUUUCAAAUUCCAGUUUGUGGACAAAGUCCUGUCUAUCUGAGAAUAUAGAUCUCCGACCACUGACCAAACUCCAUUCCAAGCAACUACCUAGUUAUGCUUUUUCCCUGCCUCGCAGUCUCUUCUGUUCACUCGUUGGGUCUGCUGGGAUCGUACUGAAACUCUCACCAGAACGGUUGCGCACAUACAAAGUGGAUUUCCACAUUUUCGUCUUAAUCUAACAGCUUCCUUUCAAAGUUGGGAAUGGGGAAGAAGAUGCUGAUCAUCUGUAAUAAACCAGGAAGCAUGGCAAAAACUCACCAUAUACUCCAUGUUGGCAGCUGGCGGAGACACCUGUGCCCGUACUUGGUUGUGGUAGUCCAAAAGAGCGCUCAUGUCCCGCGGAGAGAUGUAUCGCUUUCGGCGACUCCUCGGCACCCCGAGGCCGGACACCAAGCCAGCCUGCGGGCUGCUGGAGGGGUGCAGGAGCUCGGUGGCAUUGGGCAGCACAAAAGAGGUUGAUUUCGGUAUAAUCCAGAAGACCAAGCCAGUGAAAUACAGUAGAUGCACCUUCUCACAUCAGUGAAAGACAUUCCCCAAAGAAGCUGAGAGGACAUUUCCCAGACUACAUACCUUGAGGACUGAGCCAAGAACAGCUGAGAAAUGUUAGCUGCUGCAGCAACAGCCUGGGAGCUUGAC